rnacentral:tRNA from 1 species
UGCGGAAUAGAGCAGUUGGUUAGCUCGUUGGGCUUGUCCCCAAAGAUCAGUGGUUCAAAUCCACUUUCUGCCACCA